ensembl:snRNA U6 U6 spliceosomal RNA
GCGCUCACUUUGGCAGCACGUACACAGAUUGGAACGAUACAGAGAAGAGUGGCAGAGCCCCUGCACGAGGGUGAGGCACACGGAUUCGGGAAGGUUCCCUGUUUUA